CCAGGAAUGAAAACCUCUCUCCUGUGUCAUCCUCCAAAGCCCAUGAACACCCAACUGUCCAUAAAGGUGGCAAGAGCUUAAAACUCUCAGCACAGCUACAAGAAUCUUGGAGAAAUAUUAUCUUGGCCUGUCAGUGGACACACAGCACGUUUGCCUGAACCUCCGUGCCAUGCUGUUCACAGCAAGUUUUGUGAAACACAUCAGAUCAUCAGCAGUUUUUGCUUCUCUGAGUCAUGGAAAACAUAA